rnacentral:rRNA from 1 species
GCCCGGACAUGCCACGCUGUCUGGAGGAUGGCUCGGCUUGAGAGCCGAAGAAGGGCGCGGCAAGCCGCGAUACCGCCUCGGGUAGGCGCAAGCAGCCUUAGAACCGAGGAUACCUGAAUGGGACUUCUCAACGAACUCGCAAGAGUCCGUUGCUCCUUCACGGAGCGGGAACCCCCCGAACGGAAGCAUCUUAGUAGGGGGAGGAAAAGAAACCAAAACGGGAUUCCCUUAGUAGCAGCGAGCGAAGCGGGAACAGUCCAAACCGAAUCCCGCAGGGAAACUUGCGGGAGAUGUAGGGUUAAGGGCCCGGCUGCCUCUUCACUGGCCAAGCUGAAGUGGCCUGAAAAGGCCCGCCACAGAGGGUGACAGCCCCCUAAGCACAAACCAGAAAGAGUUGAGCAGGAGUCCCAGACUACCAUUCCAUGGCUUUGGAGUGGAAAAUCGGGAGUCACCAACUUCCAAGACUAAAUACGCCUCAAGACCGAUAGCGCACUAGUACGGUGACGGAAAACUGAAAAGUACCCCGGAAUGGGGGUGAAAAGUGCCUGAAACCAGACAGUUACAGACGUGUGCGGCCCAGAAGAGUAGAACCUUUCCGAAGGAAACCACUGUGAAGUGGCAGUACGAGGAGAGGGGAUCAGGGUCGCACGUUCCGUCUAGAAACACGGGCCGGGGAGUUUAUAGUUAUGGCAAGCCUAAAGGUACAAAGCCUGUAAGCAUAGGGAAACCAAUACGCGCGCAACUCCGCAAGGAGCCAGGCGCAGGGUCUGAAAGGGCCCGGAGUCAUAACUAUACAUACUAGAAACCAGACGAUCUAGCCCUGGGCAGGGCGAAGCUAGGCGAAAGCCUAGUGGAGGCUCGAAAGGGUUCUGACGUGCAAUUCGUUCCCCAGACCUGGGGCUAGGGGCUAAAGACCAAUCUAGUCUGGUGAUAGCUAGUUCCUUCCGAAGUGGGCCUGAGCCCAGUGCCGAGCGAGGUGGCUGGUGGGGUAGAGCACUGAUUGGAAAACAAGGACCCGAAAGGAUCCACUUUCCUUUCAAACUACGAAUCCACCCGCGCCAAAGACCUUGGUAAACGGGUUACAGGGGGUAAGCUCCUGGACCGAGAGGGGGACAACCCAGACUGAGGUUAAGGUCCCCAAGUGCUGGCUAAAUGUCAAACCAAAGGGCGUCGUCAGCCUCAGACAGCGGGGAGGUAGGCUUAGAAGCAGCCAUCCUUCAAAGAAAGCGUAACAGCUCACCCGCCGAGGCUGACGGCCCCGAAAAUUGACGGGGCUAAGCCAGCCACCGAUACCUCAGAACGCAGUUUAGCAUUGCGCUGGUAGGAAGGCGUCCUAGUUGGGCAGAAGCUGGGCUGUAAGGUCCAGUGGACCGAUUAGGAUUGCGGAUCCCGGUGGUAGUAACAGCAAAGAGAAGUGGGAAUCUUCUCCGCCGAAGGGGCCAGGGUUCCCCGGCAACGAUCGUCAGCCGGGGGUAAGUCGAUCCUAAGGCAUAACUUAACCGAUUAUGCCGAAAAAGGGAAUCCGGCUAAAAUUCCGGAACCAUAGAGGUACAUGCGGCGACGCAAGCUUAGUGUUGACGUUUCGGGGUAAGCUGAGCAAGGUCAUCGCCUUGUUUAACCGUAUAAACCUAGGG